rnacentral:lncRNA from 1 species
CCACUGAGGACUAUUUGUUUUUAUAGUAGUUCUCACGCCCAGUUGUUAUCCCUGUUUUGCAGAGCCACAGGUUUCGGCUGCUGCGCCUUCCGCGGAUCAGGAUUGAGGCAAGGGCGUCGCGAGUUAGAGCCCUACCCGACGUACUGAGCUAGAGGUGCCCCUACUGCAGGUAGAUGUUUUGUUUCGAGUUUAUGUAUAUAGUAGACUUAACUCGCCAGUAUGAGUAGCUCGGUAUUUUGGAUUUGGACUAUGUAUAUGAAACUCAGUUUGUUUAGCUUCUGUUUUCACUACAACAAAACUAUGUUUUAGCGGCGAUUAUUUUUUAAAUUAGCGGCAAUUACAAUUACCGCUAAAAUGUUUUGUGGCAAUUUUAACAAUUGCCGCUAUUGGCAGGGUCGCUAAAAGUUUUAGCGAUAUUUAUUCCGGCGGUUGGUAAAAAUCUAAAUAAAUGCCGCUAAAUAUUAUACAAUAACGACUAUUAUAAAUACCGCUAAAUAGUAUGCAAUAACAACUAUUAUAAAUGCCGCUAAAUAAUAUACAAUAACAACUAUUAUAAAUGCUGCUACAAUUAAUUAUAAUUGCCGCAAAAAACAUACUAAAUGAUUGAUUAAUAAAGCUUAUAGCGGCAAUUAAAUUAAUAUUAAAAUACUUGAUUAACAACUAAAUACUACAAUGAAUUGAAAUAUUAAAAAAUAUUAGUAACCAAAAAGCAUUAAUAAUUUGUAUAACAAAUAGUCUCAACUCUCAAAUUACAAUCUCAGUAUUCAAAUUAAAUUUCGAACAUAAGUUCUAACAAAAAAUACUUGUUCAAAAUGUAGCAAAAAAAUAACAAACACCGCAUGUCUUGCUUCCCACUUCAAUUUUCGCAGCUGCAGUUGAUCUGGAUCAACCAAAAAGAAGUCAUAAAAUUAGUAUCUGAAAUUACCAAAUAAAAAUCAUCAUAUCAAAUUUCUGAAAAACAUAAAAGUUAGGUUGCACUGUUCAUCAACAAAUAAGAAGACAAUAGUUAACAAUAUAUAAAUACCAUAAAGCAUAUCCGCACAAUAAUUAAUAAUGUAAAAGACCAAGUUCUGAUUGAUGAUUAAUCCUAUUUGUGCUUGGUUGAGGAAUAAAGAUUGUUCCGCUAUGGGGGAUAGUAAUAACUGAUCACAAAGUCAAUUUACUGGAGAUAUAACUUGAGGUUAUCUGAUACAAUCUACUGGAGAAUUAACAAUGUAAAAGAUUUCAAAAUUCUCUGUUAUCUCCUAAGCAACAAUUAGCAUGUAUAAUCGAAAAGAAUAGCAAGCCAUAAAAGAAUAGCGAGCCAUACCGUUGAUUGUGCUUCAGCUGACAACUCACACACAACUCAGAUUUCCUCCUGAAAAGAUUUCAAAUUAGAGAAAACAUAAAUAUAUAAAACGGGUGCUUCAGCUGACAACUCACACACAACUCAGAUUUCCUCCUGAAAAGAUUUCAAAUUAGAGAAAACAUAAAUAUAUAAAACGGGUGCUUCAGCUGACAACUCACACACAACUCAGAUUUCCUCCUGAAAAGAUUUCAAAUUAGAGAAAACAUAAAUAUAUAAAACGCUUGAACAUCAUAUGGAGCAAAAUUUCUUUCAUAUCAUGCUGAAAAAAUAACAUCCAUAAAACAUAAUGCAAAACUUGUGCAGCCCUCAACAAAACUAACAAAUUGACACCCAUAAUUUAAAUAAGUCCAAGUAAUUAGAAACCAAACACUUCAUAACCGAGUUAUAGCAAAACUCGGGCAGUGAUCAUCUUUGCCAAACAAUGUUGUAAGUAUGUGAGCAUUCUUCCACAACAUAAUUUUGAGUCAAGAUGGCUUGGUUAUCCCUUGAUCAACAGUAGGAAGAACCAAAGGAAAAAUUAAAAUUAAGUACUGGCUCUAAAAUAAAUUUAGAGCAAUAAUGCACAUUGUCUAUUUGCAAGUUAAGCCCUUUUUUUUCCUGAUCAAAGUACUAAUAUAUUAUUGUUUGGAUAGAAUUAUUUAACAAAAUUCUACAAAACUCAAAAGAAUAAGUUUCAAAAUAGAACUUCUACUUUCGCUAAUGAUCAUCUCGAACGGUAAAAAAACCAUGAAUUUUGCAGAUAUAUGGGGUGAAGAAAUUGUUACAGAAACAAAGCCAGAUAAGCACUAAUGCCGCAAAGUGUGUACAAGAGAUUCAUGGAAUUAAUUGAAAAUCUCCAAUGGUAAUAAAUGUGAUUUAGAACCUAAUAAGCCAUAUAUAUGU